rnacentral:ncRNA from 1 species
AAAUAAGUUGAGUUUGAUGAUGGCUCUGAGUGAACGCUGUCCAAAUGCUUGACACAUGCUAAUCGUACGACUUCGCUCAUAAAAAAAAAAGAGCGAAGCAGUGGUGUACAGGUGAGUAUAAGAUAACGUGACUGCCUUGGAGUAAGGAGAAAGAUCCCUUAUAAUAAUAAAGAAACUAAGGUUUCGCUCUUAGAAGCAUGUAUCUCGUGUAGUUGUAGUAGUUAAAGUAGUGGUUUAACUAGCCUUAUACACGUAGUCGAAACUGAAAGGUUGAUCGAUCACAGUGGGACUGAACAAAUCCCACGAUUAUUAUCACAGCAGUGAGGAAUAUUGGUCAAUAGCCUAAGGGCUGAACCAGCAAUUUGGAAGAAUGUAUAGCAAUAGCUGAUUGCACCAACAAACAGUUGAUGCAAAAUUGAUUAUAUCAAAUAAAAUUCUAGGUAGAUUUUUGAUAAUGACAUUGCUUACCUAAGUCUUGACCAAAUUACGUGCCAGCAGUCGCGGUAAUACGUAAAAGACUAGUGUUAUUCAUCUUUAAUUGGUUUAAAGGGUACCUAGACAGCGAAUAAAGCCAUAGUAGGGACUAAUUCGCUAGAGUUACUUAUGAGGGGGUAUUAAAGUACUGCAGGUGUAGAGAUGAAAUUUUGUUAUACCUCUUUUCGUAUGAAAAACUAUGGCACAGGUAUAGGUGAAAGCAUCCCCUUAUGUGAUAACUGACGUUGAGGGACGAAGGCUUUGUGUCGCGAACAGGAUUAGAUACCCCAGUAGUCAAAGCAGAAAAUGAUGAAUGUCAUAGAUUAGAUAUACAAUUUAUUCUAUAAAUGAAAGUGUAAGCAUUCCACCUCAAGAGUAAUUUGGCAACAUUGGAACUGAAAUCAUUAGACCGUUUCUGAAACCAGUAGUGAAGUAUGUUUAUUUACAAGCGUUGCACGGCUGUCUUCAGUUAAUGUCGUGAGAUUUUGGUUAGUUCCAUUAAAUUAACGUAAACCCUUACUUUAUUUUUAUAUAAAGUAGUUCCCCGCUAUAUUGGAUAUGAUAACAGGGACUAAGACAAGUCAUCAUGGCCUGAAUAUUGUGGGCUAUAGACGUGCCACAUAAACCUUACAAAAGGAUGUGAAAUUGUGAAAUUGAGCUAAUCCUCCAAAAAUGGAUAAACAUUUAAUGGAUUGCAGUCUGUAACUCGACUGCGUGAAAAAGGAAUUACUAGUAAUCGUGUAUAAGUACGGCACGGUGAAUAUAAUCUCAGAUAGGUACUAACUACUCGUCAGGCGCUGAAAAAAGUAUGUGCAAUAAGUUUGGCUAGUGCUUAUUUUUAUUUUGGGCGAUCUUGUCCAAAAACUUAGGCAUGUUGUCUUCGUAUGCGUGACUUUGAUUGGUGUUAAGUCGAAAUAUGGUUCGUGUAGUGGAAAUUGCACGGGAUUUAUGUAUAUUAAAA